rnacentral:rRNA from 1 species
UACGUAGGUCCCGAGCGUUGUCCGGAUUUAUUGGGCGUAAAGCGAGCGCAGGUGGUUUAUUAAGUCUGGUGUAAAAGGCAGUGGCUCAACCAUUGUAUGCAUUGGAAACUGGUAGACUUGAGUGCAGGAGAGGAAAGUGGAAUUCCAUGUGUAGCGAUGAAAUGCGUAGAUAUAUGGAGGAACACCGGUGGCGAAAGCGGCUCUCUGGCCUGUAACUGACACUGAGGCUCGAAAGCGUGGGGAGCAAACAGG